AAAAAAAAUAGUAAUAUUUUCACACUCAAAAGUCUAUCAACAUCUAUUUAAAUAAUAUACCUUAAAAAAAAUACGAAAAUACGUUAUAAUUAUCCUGUACAUUUAUCCCUGUGCGCCUGGUCAAAAUAGUAAGGCUUUUGAGAAUUUAAUUCCGGAAUUUAAGAGCUGUAUUCAUACGAUUUCGCUGUGUGAUCAUGUCAUCUACCUGGACUGAGGGUGGAGAUGCUUUGAGCAUGCAAAACUGCAGAGAAAUAUUCAGACAAAAGAUUGCAUCGUAUUACCAUUCACCGUGCAGAGGAUCAAAGAACGUGAAAAUGAAUUUUGGAACAAAGCCUCUCUGAUGCUGAUAGACUUUUUUGUUUAAAGUCCUUUGAUAGGUUUUGUUUCAUUACCUAUUGUGUCUAGCGUAAUAUUUUUCAUUCAGACCACACUAGUCUGUCUAGACUUAUGAGAUUCCGGAUUAAAUUAAUACGGUCUGUUCUAAGAUAAACUAAGUAAUAAUAUCAUAAGCAUCGAUUCACUAAUAUUGCUUAAUGUAAUAAAAUUAACAUAUAAACACAUUGUUUCAAAUUCAAUUGAGUAAAAGUAAUGAAACAAAAACGAAUCAAUGACCUUCGUUUAAGCUUGAAUAAUGAUAAAUAAAUUGACUUGUUAUUUGC